AAAACUGCAUUUUACCCCUAUGUUCUAUUUUUAGCCGUGGCGGCCAUCUUGGUUGGUUGACCAGGUCACGCCACACAUUUUUUAAACUAGAUACCCCAAAGAUGAUUGUGGCCAACUUUGGAUUAAUUUGGCCCAUUAGUUUCAGAGGAGAAGAUUUUUGUAAAAGAUUACUUAGAUUUAUGAAAAAUGGUUAAAAAUUGACUAUAAAGGGCAAUAACUCCUUAAGGGGUCAACUGACCAUUUCGGUCAUGUUGACUUAUUUGUAAAUCUAACUUUGCUGAACAUUAUUCCUGUUUACAGUUUAUCUCUAUCUAUAAUAAUAUUCAAGAUAAUAACCAAAAACGGCAAAAAUUUCCUCAAAAUUACCAAUUCAGGGGCAGCAACCCAACAACAGGUUGACCGAUUCAUCUGAAAAUUUCAGGGCAGAUAGAUCUUGACCUGAUAAACAUUUUUACCCCACAUCAGAUUUCCUCUAAAUGCUUUGGUUUUUGAGUUAUAAGCCAAAAACUGCAUUUUACCCCUAUGUUCUAUUUUUAGCCGUGGCGGCCAUCUUGGUUGGUUGACCGGGUCACGCCACAUAUUUUUUAAACUAGAUACCCCAAAGAUAAUUGUGGCCAAGUUUGGUUCAAUUUGGCCCAGUAGUUUCAGAGGAGAAGAUUUUUGUAAAAGUUAACGACGACGGACGACGGACGACAGACGACGGACGACGACGACGACGACGCCGGACGCAAAGUGAUGGGAAAAGCUCACUUGGCCCUUCGGGCCAGGUGAGCUAAAAAUGACUAAA
rnacentral:lncRNA from 1 species